AGGCAGCAGCUCCCCCACCAGGUAGCACAGUUCCAGAUUUAGCAAUGGAAGAUAUCUCAGUUCAACAAGCAGCUGCUCCCCUACCAAGUAGCACAGUUCCAGAUUUACCAAUAGAAGAAAUCUCAGUUCAACAGGGUGAAUCCGAAAUUAAUCCGGUCCCUCAUGAUGGUGAUAGCACCCAACCACAGG